GGAUGAAAGGGAGAUCUGGCUGCAACUUCUGUCACCUCAUUGAUCGCCAGAGUUGAUUCAGCUGAUCCGGCUGGGUAGGCUAGUGUCCCCUUUCUCCCUCACUGCUCUAUGUGCAUCCUUCCUGAAGUUACACACAAGGGUAUAUGAGCAGCUGCGCUCCCCUGCUAGAACCUCCAAACAAGCUCUCAAGAGUGUAGAAUAGAAUUCAGUGUAGUAAGUCAUCUAACAAAUAUGUUUUAAUUACAACUACAGCACCCCCACAAACAGUAUCU
rnacentral:snRNA from 1 species